rnacentral:lncRNA from 1 species
CUCCAAGCACUGACUCCUAGCUGCUUAUGAAGUUCUCCUCUCACCUCCCCAGUGAUCGAUGACACAGAAGAGCGUGGGAUCUCAAACCCCUUUACCACAAAGCUGUCCCCAGAACUGCAGGCCCUGAAGGAACAGCAAGCCCAUUCCCUGGUCCCCAGGAGCAGCCAGUCCAGGAUCCUGAGAAAGGCCCAGCGGAAGAUGGUUGAAGAGGCACAGAAAAAGGGGCAACUGAAGGCAGGUGAUGCAUCUAUGAAGGACUCUGGCAAUGGACACCCCAGGCAUAGACCCAGAGCAGGUCCAGGCAAGGCAGCCCCUGAGGAGGGGGAGCCACUGGCUGCCUCCAAUGAGAAUAACUCUGGUCUCCUGCAAGGAAAGAGCAGUGUGGCAGAGUGGGAAUUGGAGGAGUCUCUUCCUGACCCAUGGUGAGAGAGGGCUGAGGCUGGGGCAGGAGGAAAAGGGGGAAGAAAGGUCUUUCACUGACUGUGUUGUUUCCUUGGCCAGCCAGCACAGCAUCUCUCGAGACUAUGAGCGGGAGUUUCCUGGAGCAGGUACCCCUUCGCAGCCUGAUGCUGGCAGGGCAGAGCCCUGGGGCAGGCGCAGCAUUGAGGCCGUGGACCUGGAGAGUGAGGAGCUGGAGAGCGAUGAGGAGUGGCAGCACCUGAUUGAGGCCACUGAGCCCUCGGCCAUGCAGCUGAGCACACGUCUGAGCCUCCUGAGGGACCCAGCCUUUCAGCACCGUGUCA